rnacentral:lncRNA from 1 species
GGGUAAUUUUGUUGUUAGAAUACACCAUUGAUUGGAUAUCAAAAGGUAAGAUAGGACUCUGUGGGUCAACCAUAAAUUUUUGUGUACUGUAUUCAAGACCCAUUGGUGAUCUUAAGCUGUUUUGAACUCUUUUUUUUUGGUUGGCUUGUUGUCUCAUUGACACAUUCUACAUUUCCAUUCUCAAUUUUAGUUGUGUAAGGUUAGUCCUUUUUUAUGUAGUUGGUUAAGAGGGGAUGCGUAUUACACUUUACCUUAGACGAUACAUUUAAAAACGUAAGCCAGAAUACUUAACAGUAGUUGGUUAAGAGGGGAUGCUUAUUAUACAUAACUAUAGACGGUACAUUUUUGAAAUAUAAACCAUUUUACAUAACAGUUUCUGAAACCAUGGAUUGACUUAUAAAUGUUUUACAAAUUUAUGUGCAAAAAUAU